rnacentral:lncRNA from 1 species
CUUUUUAUUCUUUCACCCACGCAUUACAGUCACUAUAUUGCACUACACAUUACCAUGGACUUCAAGAGUGAACUACUAGAGAGCUGCAAACCGGAAGGCCUUUUUGACUACAUUGUGUGGAAGUUCCUAAUUAUGUUAAUCUCUAUUUGUAGGAACUUGUAGAGAUUCAUGGAGAAAACAGACCAAAGUACAUCGUCGAUUGCAGACUUGAGGUCGUCAAGCAGCGGUACGAACUGAGAAACAACGGUUUCAAGUCUUAAUUUGAGCUACAACGCUCAAGUGUUUUGAUGCAAACGGUCCACACCCAUACACUGCCAUAUUGGUUCCUCGUUUAAAUCUCUCACACCCACGGAACCAAUACUCUUCUCUUUCAUCGUUUCCAAGAAGCUCCCC